rnacentral:misc_RNA from 1 species
ACAAACUUGGUCAUUUAGAGGAAGUAAAAGUCGUAACAAGGUUUCCGUAGGUGAACCUGCGGAAGGAUCAUUACUGAGUUAGGGUCCCUCGGGGCCCGACCUCCCAACCCAGUGUCUAUUCAUACCUUACGUUGCUUCGGCGGACCGGUCUUACGACCGCCGGAGGAGGGUAUCCCCUUCCUUUGGAGAGCGUCCGCCGAUGGCCUCAUUUUAAACUCUUGGAAAAAUCAUUGUCAUCUGAAUCUUUGAUAUAAUCAAAAACAAAACUUUCAACAACGGAUCUCUUGGUUCUGGCAUCGAUGAAGAACGCAGC